rnacentral:rRNA from 1 species
AUCCUUGAAAAGGAAGAUCAAGUGAGCUUCGAAGAAGCUCGCUUGAUUGAGGGGAGUGGCAGACGGGUGAGUAACGCGUGGGAAUCUACCCAUCCCUACGGAACAACUCCGGGAAACUGGAGCUAAUACCGUAUACGCCCUUUGGGGGAAAGAUUUAUCGGGGAUGGAUGAGCCCGCGUUGGAUUAGCUAGUUGGUGGGGGAAAGGCCUACCAAGGCGACGAUCCAUAGCUGGUCUGAGAGGAUGAUCAGCCACAUUGGGACUGAGACACGGCCCAAACUCCUACGGGAGGCAGCAGUGGGGAAUAUUGGACAAUGGGCGCAAGCCUGAUCCAGCCAUGCCGCGUGAGUGAUGAAGGUCUUAGGAUUGUAAAGCUCUUUCACCGGGGAAGAUAAUGACGGUACCCGGAGAAGAAGCCCCGGCUAACUUCGUGCCAGCCGCCGCGGUAA